UACGUAGGCAGCGAGCGUUGUUCGGAGUUACUGGGCGUAAAGGGUGCGUAGGCGGUUGUUUAAGUUUGGUGUGAAAUCCCUCGGCCCAACCGAGGAACUGCGCCCAGUACUGCGUUGCUUGAGGAUCCAAGGGGUGCAUGGAAUUCCCGGUGGAGCGGUGAAAUGCGUUGAUAUCGGGAGGAACUCCGGCGGCGAAAGCGGUGCACUGGUGGAUUACUGACGCUGAGGUGCGAAAGCCAGGGGAGCAAACGGG
rnacentral:rRNA from 1 species